CAGCCGCCACGGGAAUACAGAGGGUGCGAGCGUUAAUCGGAUUUACUGGGCGUAAAGCGUGCGUAGGCGGCUUCUUAAGUCGGAUGUGAAAUCCCUGAGCUUAACUUAGGAAUUGCAUUCGAUACUGGGAAGCUAGAGUAUGGGAGAGGAUGGUAGAAUUCCAGGUGUAGCGGUGAAAUGCGUAGAGAUCUGGAGGAAUACCGAUGGCGAAGGCAGCCAUCUGGCCUAAUACUGACGCUGAGGUACGAAAGCAUGGGGAGCAAACAGGAUUAGAUACCCGUGUAGUCCCUGUCUCUUAUAC
rnacentral:rRNA from 1 species